AUUGAACGCUGGCGGAAUGCUUUACACAUGCAAGUCGAACGGCAGCACGGACUUCGGUCUGGUGGCGAGUGGCGAACGGGUGAGUAAUAUAUCGGAACGUAUCCAAUAAUGGGGGAUAACUAAUCGAAAGGUUGGCUAAUACCGCAUACGCCCUACGGGGGAAAGCUAGGGAUCUUCGGACCUGGCGUUAACGGAGCGGCCAAUAUCUGAUUAGCUAGUUGGUGGGGUAAAGGCCCACCAAGGCGACGAUCAGUAGCUGGUCUGAGAGGACGACCAGCCACACUGGAACUGAGACACGGUCCAGACUCCUACGGGAGGCAGCAGUGGGGAAUUUUGGACAAUGGGCGCAAGCCUGAUCCAGCCAUUCCGCGUGAGUGAAGAAGGCCUUCGGGUUGUAAAGCUCUCUCGCAAGGGAAGAAAACUUAUCCUCUAACAUAGGAUGAGGUUGACGGUACCUUGAUAAGAAGCACCGGAAAAC
rnacentral:rRNA from 1 species